rnacentral:rRNA from 1 species
GACGAACGCUGGCGGCGUGCUUAACACAUGCAAGUCGAACGGUAAGGCCCCAGCUUGCUGGGGUACACGAGUGGCGAACGGGUGAGUAACACGUGGGUGACCUGCCCCGCACUUCGGGAUAAGCCUGGGAAACUGGGUCUAAUACCGGAUAGGACCGCACCGUGAGGGUGUGGUGGAAAGUUUUUCGGUGUGGGAUGGGCCCGCGGCCUAUCAGCUUGUUGGUGGGGUAAUGGCCUACCAAGGCGGCGACGGGUAGCCGGCCUGAGAGGGUGGACGGCCACAUUGGGACUGAGACACGGACCAGACUCCUACGGGAGGCAGCAGUGGGGAAUAUUGCACAAUGGGCGGAAGCCUGAUGCAGCGACGCCGCGUGGGGGAUGACGGCCUUCGGGUUGUAAACUCCUUUCACCAUCGACGAAGGUUUUCUGACGGUAGAUGGAGAAGAAGCACCGGCUAACUACGUG